CGGGGUCCCUCCCAGGCGAGAGCUUCAACAACAUUUGCUAGUUUGCUCAUAAUCUAGUCGUGUGUUACCACGUAAGUGCACAUGUUAUCCCUUUCCUGGUUUGCUUGUAAACCUAGCCGUCCUUCAUCAUGUAAACGUGGUAGUUAUCUGUAACACCCUAGUUUGAAUUUUGGUAGGAUUUAAAAUUUUUAAUAAAACUUAUUAGAAUUAAUUAGGAAGAGCAUACGUCCUUUUCAAAUAAAAUUUAUUUUCUAAAUACAAAUUAAACAAUAAUAGUUUAUAUAAUUGUGUUUGUUGCAUUCAUGCCGAUAGUAUAGCGUUUCUGGUUGUAAAAUAGUCUUGAAAGUGUUUUACCAAACACGCAUAGGUCCCGAUCCGAGCUCAAUCUCUAAAGUCCUAAACCUGCUGGUCCAAAACUAUAAUGAGAGCUUUGUGGAAUCCUAAUCGUUCAUAGCCAACGCCUUCACUCCCUUUUUAUUUCUCUAUCUACUCGGGCUUAAUCUUACUCCCAACUCAUAUGUUGAGCUUUUCCCCUCUUGCUUUACCGUUGUGCCAAGUCGAUCAUUAUUUCCAAGCUGAGUACUUUGUUUCCUCUAUUUCUCUAUUUGACCAAAUUAAUUCAAAUUUGGGCCAUGGCCCAGCCGGCCACCCCUCCUCUCUAUCUUUCGCUGAGCACCACCGGGAAUCGUCCUCACCCUCCCCACAUCAACAAGGUGCCAAUGCAUCUAGACACACUGCCCUUGACAAAAAUCAGCAACCAUUUAUCACCUCCCUUUCUCACGCCCUUCCUUGGCCACAUCUCUCCUAAUCACAUACUAAUUUCCUCAAUUACUCGGGCACGAGGAAACACCGGCCGUGACUUCUAUCUUCCCCUCAUCCAUGGCUGCCCCCUCCCUAUCAUCCUCUCCUGACCUACCUAACCACCAAAACGAGGCACCCUCAUCGCCAUGGUUCCAUUUUACUACCCCACUCAUCAUCCAAAGACCCCAAGCCGACGUUGGUGAAGGCCCCCAUGCCAGUACCGCCUCUGUACAACAUUUUCAUCAUCCAGUAAGCUGCAAAGCCCCUUUUCCAUCUUGUUCUCUC
rnacentral:lncRNA from 1 species